AUUAGAUACCCUGGUAGUCCACGCCGUAAACGAUGAUUACUAGGUGUCGGUGGGUAUGGACCCACCGGUGCCGCAGCAAACGCAGUAAGUAAUCCACCUGGGGAGUACGUUCGCAAGAAUGAAACUCAAAGGAAUUGACGGGGACCCGCACAAGCGGUGGAGCAUGUGGUUUAGUCCGAAGCAACGCGAAGAACCUUACCAAGUCUUGACAUCCCAUUGACGUAUGGGUAAUGCCAUAUUCCCUUCGGGGCAAUGGAGACAGGUGGUGCAUGGUCGUCGUCAGCUCGUGUCGUGAGAUGUUGGGUUAAGUCCCGCAACGAGCGCAACCCUUAUCCUCAGUAGCCAGCAGGUAAAGCCGGGCACUCUGGGGAGACUGCCGGGGAUAACCCGGAGGAAGGUGGGGAUGACGUCAAAUCAUCAUGCCCCUUAUGAUUUGGGCUACACACGUGCUACAAUGGCGUAAACAGAGGGAAGCGAACCCGCGAGGGGGAGCAAAUCCAGAAAUAACGUCCCAGUUCGGAUUGUAGUCUGCAACCCGGCUACAUGAAGCUGGAAUCGCUAGUAAUCGCGGAUCAGAAUGCCGCGGUGAAUACGUUCCCGGGUCUUGUACACACCGCCCGUCACACCAUGGGAGUCGGAAAUGCCCGAAGUCUGUGACCCAACCUCAGGGAGGGAGCAGCCGAAGGCAGGUCGGAUGACUGGGGUGAAGUCGUAACAAGG
rnacentral:rRNA from 1 species